rnacentral:rRNA from 1 species
UACGUAGGGUGCAAGCGUUUGUCCGGAAUUAUUGGGCGUAAAGAGCUCGUAGGCGGUUUGUCGCGUCGAAUGUGAAAACCCGGGGCUCAACCCCGGGCCUGCAUUCGAUACGGGCAGACUAGAGUUCGGUAGGGGAGUCUGGAAUUCCUGGUGUAGCGGUGAAAUGCGCAGAUAUCAGGAGGAACACCGGUGGCGAAGGCGGGUCUCUGGGCCGAUAUUGACGCUGAGGAGCGAAAGCGUGGGGAGCAAACAGG